UCUAUUGUGGCAGAUAAUUAUGCAAUGAGCUUAAAAUUCAUUUAAAAAUGUUACCAUUUCUGUAGAA
rnacentral:tRNA from 1 species